GUCAGGAUGGCCGAGCGGUCUAAGGCGCCAGACUCAAGGUGGUUAACCUUGCCCAUUAACAUGGGUACAUGAGAAUUCUGGUCCUCUCUGAGGGCGUGGGUUCGAACCCCACUUCUGACA
rnacentral:tRNA from 1 species